rnacentral:rRNA from 1 species
AACGAACGCUGGCGGCAGGCUUAACACAUGCGAGUCGAGCGGGCAUAGCAAUAUGUCAGCGGCAGACGGGUGAGUAACGCGCGGGAACAUACCCUUUCCUGCGGAACAGCUCCGGGAAACUGGAAUUAAUAACGCAUACGCCCUACGGGGGAAAGAUUUAUCGGGGAAGGAUUGGCCCGCGUUGGAUUAGCUAGUUGGUGGGGUAAAGGCCAACCAAGGCGACGAUCCAUAGCUGGUCUGAGAGGAUGAUCAGCCACAUUGGGACUGAGACACGGCCCAAACUCCUACGGGAGGCAGCAGUGGGGAACAUUGGACAAUGGGCGAAAGCCUGAUCCAGCCAUGCCGCGUGAGUGAUGAAGGCCUUCGGGUUGUAAAGCUCUUUCGGUGGUGACGAUAAUGACGGUAACCACAUAAGAAGCCCCGGCUAACUUCGUGCCAGCCGCCGCAGUAAAAC